rnacentral:rRNA from 1 species
AUACGUAGGUGACUAGCGUUGUCCGGAUUUACUGGGCGUAAAGAGCGCGCAGGCGGUCGUUCAAGUCGAGUGUGAAAGCCCCCGGCUCAACUGGGGAGGGUCAUUCGAUACUGAUCGACUCGAAGGCAGGAGAGGGAAGCGGAAUUCCCGGUGUAGUGGUGAAAUGCGUAGAUAUCGGGAGGAACACCAGUGGCGAAGGCGGCUUCCUGGCCUGUUCUUGACGCUGAGGCGCGAAAGCUAGGGGAGCAAACGGGAUUAGAUACCCCGGUAGUCCUUGUCGUAAACGAUGGACACUAGGUGUUGGUGGUAUCAACCCCACCAGUGCCGAAGCUGACGCAUUAAGUGUCCCGCCUGGGGAGUACGGCCGCAAGGCUAAAACUCAAAUGAAUUGACGGGG